CCGAAAGUUCCCAUUCUUCCUCCUCUUGCUUUCUCCCAUGGCUUCAGAUUUGCGUUAGGGUUCCCCGAUCGGAGGAUUUUGUGCCGUGUAGAGUCCUCCACCCGACACGAUCGUCUUUUGGAUUGUUCUUUGGAGAUUUGGCUUGAGGUAAAAGGACUCUGAGUUGAAUCAUUAUGAAGAUUGUUUUGAAUGCUAGAGUGUUCAACUUCGGUAAUUUUUGAGGUAAAGAAUCACUCUUUUCGGUGUAACUUGGACCAUCGUUCAAGACAAAAGCAGUAUACCUAAUCUUCAGAUAUGCAAGUUCUGAUGCAAUUGGUAACUUCGAGUUACCUAGACUCCGUUCCUGACUCCCAAUCAGGUACGGUGAUUUCCACUGUCUAAUGGUUAUAUGAUUUGAUUAUUUCCUGCUCGAUGCUUUCUACUAUCUUUCAUUAUUAAUUAUUCCAAAUAGUUGCUUAUUAGCCUGUUACGAUAUGAUGCAAUUUCUGUAGAAAACAUUCUCUGGUAGAUGAUUCUUUAAGUUCUUUCUACCUAUCAUCUUGUUAUCAAUUGAAACCGCAAACAAUCAAUUUAUAGUUAAAUCACUAUGAAUGGCGUAGAAACGAUACUUCUAAAACUGUUUGAGUAUACAUAAUUUUGUUCUUCUUUUUCAGUCAUUAUAAGAAAAAUCGUCGGUGCAAGAUUAGAUUUUCUUUUAUUUAGUUAGUGCAACCAGUAGUUUUUUUUAGGGGACCUUUUCAUACUAUGGUUAGGUUUUAGUUACAUUUCAUGCAUAGUUUAUUGAAAUUAUUGUAUGGGUUGUGUCCUACUUAUAAUUGAUUCAUGUGGUACUACUUUAACAAAAUGGAGGCACACAGCCAUGCUGC